rnacentral:rRNA from 1 species
CUACGGGUUGCUGCAGUGGGGAAUAUUGCACAAUGGGCGCAAGCCUGAUGCAGCCAUGCCGCGUGUAUGAAGAAGGCCUUCGGGUUGUAAAGUACUUUCAGCGGGGAGGAAGGGAGUAAAGUUAAUACCUUUGCUCAUUGACGUUACCCGCAGAAGAAGCACCGGCUAACUCCGUGCCAGCAGCCGCGGUAAUACGGAGGGUGCAAGCGUUAAUCGGAAUGAACUGGGCGUAAAGCGCACGCAGGCGGUUUGUUAAGUCAGAUGUGAAAUCCCCGGGCUCAACCUGGGAACUGCAUCUGAUACUGGCAAGCUUGAGUCUCGUAGAGGGGGGUAGAAGUCCAGGUGUAGCGGUGAAAUGCGUAGAGAUCUGGAGGAAUACCGGUGGCGAAGGCGGCCCCCUGGACGAAGACUGACGCUCAGGUGCGAAAGCGUGGGGAGCAAACAGGAUUAGAUACCCUAGUAGUC